rnacentral:rRNA from 1 species
GAUCCUGGCUCAGGACGAACGCUGGCGGCGUGCUUAACACAUGCAAGUCGAACGGACAGACAGAGAGCUUGCUCUCUUGAAGUUAGUGGCGAACGGGUGAGUAACGCGUAAUCAACCUGCCCUUCAGAGGGGGAGUAACAACGGGAAACCGUUGCUAAUACCGCGUACGAUUCACAGGCGGCAUCGCUUGUGAAUGAAAGGUGGCCUCUAUGUAUAAGCUAUCGCUGAAGGAGGGGAUUG